rnacentral:tRNA from 1 species
GGAGGCGUGGCAGAGCGGUUGAAUGCACCGGUCUUGAAAACCGGCAACUCGCAAGGGUUCAUGAGUUCGAAUCUCAUCGCCUCCGCCA